GCUUGGCCCUAAACCUCAGUAGUUAGAUAACAAAACUACUCGCCAGAAUACUACGAGCUACAGCUUAAAACUCAAAGGACUUGACGGUGCUUUACACCCCCUAGAGGAGCCUGUUCCGUAAUCGAUAAACCCCGAUCCACCCCACCCUCUCUUGCUCAGCCUAUAUACCGCCAUCUUCAGCAAACCCUAAUGAAGGUCACAAAGUGAGCGCAAACGCCGUCACCGCGAGUACGUUAGGUCAAGGUGUAGCCUAUGAGAUGGUAAAAAAUGGGCUACAUUUUCUACCUCAGAAAAUUCCACGAAAACCCUUAUGAAAUUUAAGGGCCCAAGGAGGAUUUAGCAGUAAAUUAAGAAUAGAGUGCUUAAUUGAACCAGGCCAUAAAGCGCGCACACACCGCCCGUCGUUCUU
rnacentral:rRNA from 1 species